AAUACAUAUCCAAAUAUAAAAGGUUAUGUACUAAGGUCAAGAAAAUAGGGUUUCAAUCUCUCUUGGAUUUUAAAUUUAAUAAACUAUCAAGGGAUUUAUGUGAACGAAUAAUUACUACUUUUGACACACCGACCUCAACACUUGGAAUUAGAGGGGUGUGCCUUAUGGUGGGAAACCUGUCUCUUUAGACGAUGACAGCGAAGCAUCUAAAGCAUUAAAGAAGAAUUAUCUUGGCAAACUCUUCACUGAGUUGAAGAGUAUGAUAAUAUCUGGCAAGGAUGAAAACGGUGUUUUUAUUAUUUACUCUUAGAACAUUUCUUUAUCCCACAACAAGUACAACUGUUAGUAUGAGGAGUAUUAAAAGUUUGAGUGGGAAGAAAAAUGUUCAAGAAUAUGACUGGUCAUCUUUUGUGUUGUUAGAGCUUAUUAGAAAGAUUUCAACUUAUGAGAUAGCAUCAAGGAGUGGACGAAGGAAGAAGAAUGUAGGAGGAUGCUUAUUUUUCUUAUUGAUAUUUUACAUGCACUAUUUUCCAUUAGGCCUAACACCAUUAGUAGAUGGCGGAAUGCCUGUGAUGUAUUUGUGGAACCAAUACAUGGUGCAAAAAUGGGUUAAGUUGGAAAAAGAAAGUAUCCACAAUAUUCUUUAUGGUGGUAAGUCUAAUGAAGUGUCUGAAGUUUUACUUUCACUUGCAGCGAUAACUCACCCGGUAUAUAUAUGUCCAUAAUUUAUUGUGUAUAUCCUGAUUUUUUAUUUGCUUAAUAAGCUUGGUGUUGAAACUUGAUUAGGGUGUGAGGGAGAUAUAUGAAGACUUUUUGCAAUAUGCUAAUACCUUUGCAAGUAAAGUGCUAAAGUUACAACAAAGUCUUAACCAGCUUCAAAUAUCUGAUAGUAAAGCUAUUGUGAGGGUUGACGAACCAAGCGAAGAAGAAGUGGAGGAAGAGGAAUGUGGAGAUGAAGAUGAAGCUGAUGAUGAUGAUGAUGAAGAUGGAGACAAAGGCAAAGAUAAAGCUAAAGAUGCACAUAAUAAUGGAGAUAGGGAUGAAGAUGAAGACGAUGGUGGUUAUGAAGCUGCAGCUAGAGCUGGAUCUAAAGAAAAUGAGGAUGAAGGCUUCGAUAGUAAGGAAGAAACUAUAGAACUUUUGCCUAUUCAAGAAAGUGAUGAAAGACAAGAUGGCAAGAAGAGGAGGAGAACAGAUGAAAGCAUAAUGAUUUGAAGGUCUGAAAGGAAAAAGAUUGAGGUAAAUUGGUCACCUUUUCUGAAGGAACCAAUACAAGGGAGACUUAUCAAAGAAUAAUAAAUAUAUAAAUAUUGCACCAGGUGGACCAAUGAAGUAGAGGGUGAAGAGUAAGUAAUGUGAUAUUACUUUUUGAUAAUUAUGGUGCAUUAUAUUUGAUAUAAUAACACUUUUUUUGGUAGUUAUGUUAUUGAGAUGUACGAUUACUACCUAACUAGGGUCGAAUGCUGAAGUCUUAGUCCUAAAAAAUGGAUAAGUACAACGGUAUGUCUGAAAGUUUUAAUUAAUUAAUUGUUUAAUUGGAUAGUACAUUGAGUAUUGGAUGUGGUCUUUGUAGGUCAUAAGCAUGGUCGCAAAAGUGAUGGUUGGUGAGCAACUUCAUGAAGGGGAGGUAUGGAGGUAUAUAUUUGAUUCAGAAUUUAUGGCCAACCUAAGGGAUAAAAAGUUAAGAUGGUCUAUUUUUGACGAUGCAAGGAUGCUCAUGCCUGAUAAACUUAGAUAUAACCUUGAAAAUUGUUAUUAUCUCUUCUUGGCCAUACUUGUGUUCAAUCACUGGUUUUGUUAUUGUGCUGAUCUAAAGAAUGAAAAAUUUUUCAUCCUUGAUUCAUUGGCUGGGAAGUUAUUUAGAGAGAAGAAGAUGAUAGUUGGAUUUAUGGUAUGCUUUGUUAAUGCUUUUGCAUAACUACUUGAGGUUACUUAAAUUUUUAGAUGGGAAUAGUUAUCUAAGAUUAGGAACUAUUUAUAGAGAACUCGCAUAAUUAAAUUGUUACAAGCAUGUGACCCAGAGAAAUAUGUAGAGGAUUUUCAGACAGAGAUGAUAUUUGAAGAACUUCUCAAACAAAGUAAUGUGUAAAUAACUAACUACGGAAAGAACUACCUUUUUAUGUAUUCAUUUCAAGUAGACAUUUUGCCUUAUCUUAAUUGCUCAUAUUUGUAAAAAUGAUUGUGGGGUAUAUGUAAUAAAGUACUGUGCAGAAUGGGAUAGUAGAAGAAGAAAAGGAGGACUGACCAUGGAGGACUUUUCAAAUGAACAAUUGAAACAUUUUAGGGUGGAUAUGAUAUGGUGGUUGGUAAAUCACAUGAGAAAUGAAGUGAGAAAUGAAGUUUUUACCUCUAUCUCAAUAGCUAACCGACCAAAGAGGGCAGGAAAGAAGUCUAAAUGAAUUUUUAACCUGUGACCUGUUUUGAUCAUUAAUCUUUGAUGGGUGUGAUGUAUUUGCCUCGCUGAAGAGCUUGCUCUUCAUCAAUGUUUACCAUUUUGAUUUUGUAGAAAUUGCCUCUUCUUCAA